rnacentral:rRNA from 1 species
UAGGGAAUCUUCCGCAAUGGGCGAAAGCCUGACGGAGCAACGCCGCGUGAGUGAUGAAGGUCUUCGGAUCGUAAAACUCUGUUAUUAGGGAAGAACAAAUGUGUAAGUAACUAUGCACGUCUUGACGGUACCUAAUCAGAAAGCCACGGCUAACUACGUGCCAGCAGCCGCGGUAAUACGUAGGUGGCAAGCGUUAUCCGGAAUUAUUGGGCGUAAAGCGCGCGUAGGCGGUUUUUUAAGUCUGAUGUGUAAGCCCACGGCUCAACCGUGGAGGGUCAUUGGAAACUGGAAAACUUGAGUGCAGAAGAGGAAAGUGGAAUUCCAUGUGUAGCGGUGAAAAGCGCAGAGAUAUGGAGGAACACCAGUGGCGAAGGCGACUUUCUGGUCUGUAACUGACGCUGGUGUGCGAAAGCGUGGGGAUCAAACAGG